GAAUCAAUGGGAGCGAACGGAGACGAGUACACAUCCUGCUGAGAGCCGACGCCAGAGUCAGGACUCAACAGCGUAGGAGUGAACACAGCACGACAGUAAAUGUUUGGACGGUGUGUUCGGGUGCCGCCGUAAAACUGGAGUUUCCCUCUCAGCUGCUCUGACGGUCGGACACUGAGCUCAGUGUUGGAGGCUCAGAGCCUCCUACUGUCUGCAUCCAGAUGGACAGGAAGAAACCCCGGGUCAAGCUGCUGACUUUUCCACCCCGGCUUUGAAGUGAGAAGCUCCAGAGGAGAAAAGAGGAGCACUUUGAUGUGAGCGUUAGAUUAAGAUG